UGAGGGAGGGGGGGUGUUUUGCACGAGGGUUCGCGUGGUGGACUGCAAGCAGGGCUGCGCGGUGGGUGCUACCCGCCCAGUUUCAUGGCGGGAGGUUGCCCCGAGUUUUUGUUGUGUGGGCUACUGCGGAGAAGUUUUUGCGUGGGGGAUUUUGCAUGCCUGGUUCCACGGGGCAAGGGGUGUUGCUCCAUGCUCUAGUUAAAACCUGGAUGGCAACAGGGUCAGCUCUGGGCCUUGGGCUGUCCCUGCCCUGUUUGUGUCUCCCCACCAAUGGCUGCACAGGCCUUGCGGUUAAAAUUGCAAAAAAAAAAAAAAAAAACAAAAACAAAAAGCCACAAAUAAAAGGUGUAAAAACACCCCGAAUAGGGAAACGUGCAGGGAACGAUGAAACGCCAAAGCAAAACCUGUUGGGUCUGGCCAAAUCUCAGUCUGGGCUGCCCACAGCCCCCCGUGGCAGAAGGAGAGGCCGUUGUUUCUGUUAAUUUGCAUUAUUUUUUGUUAAUAUGCACGAGGGCAGCUUUGCAAACGUACAGGGUGUGUAGGGGAAGGUAGGUGAAUGAGCAAACAGCUGUGUAAUAGCAUAAUUCUUCAAUUUUGAGGCACCUCUGUGUGGAUAUACGUGGGUUCUAUACUUCUGGAAACAUGGGAAACUUCCUUGGUGCUUAAAUAAUAUUUCUAUAUUUAAAAUACAGAAUUCAGCGGCCGCAGACCGUGCCCAUAAGUCACCAAUAUCCUUAAUGUUCAGUCCAGGCUUUGCCAGGCUGGAAGUUUUAGUCCCUCCUAGACAAGUAAUUCCAAAUAUUUAUAUGUUAAUUCUUUUAACUUGGAGACACAAAUAGCCGGAGAUGUCCUGGCAACUCAGUGGCAGAACAAAAAAAAAAAAAAAAAAAAAAAUCAACAUGGGAAUCUGCUGGUCUAUUCUGCUUUGUGUAAACUGAGCAGAGAAAAUAUUUCCUGUUUCAGGCUCAAAUAGUGAGAGUUCAGCCAGUCUGUUUCUCUGGUUAUUUGAGAAGGGGUUAAAAAUGGGGUCAAAAAGACUGACUCUUGCCAAUUCCGUGCCGUAUUUGGUCUGGAAGGUAUUUUAUUUUAGGGGGUCUUGAAUACAAAGUCACCCAUGGCUGUAGGAAAAAUGAGGGGUGGUUUUGUUGGGGGGGGGGAACCUGGGGCAGAGCUGCUUGUGGCACCAAGGGCAGAGCAUCGCUUUGGUCCAAAACUGAAAUUGCUUUGUGAUUCCUGACAUUGCUUAAAAAUAGACAUUUGGAAAUAAAAGUUUGUGGGGGGGGAGCUGAGGCAGGAUUUGAUACCGGCAAUAUUCUGCCAGUGCAGAAUUGUACUUGGCGCGUGCCUCGCCUAUAUUGCGGGGUUUAAACCAAGUCUACAAUUCUCCUGAAUCGGUGUUACCCACAUUUGUUUUAGAAUUUGGUGUCUGCUUCUGGACAGCAGCAGGAAAAAAAAGAGUUUCAGGGUUGAACCUACAAAGUAUCUCUAACGUUGCUGAUUAGCCAGAAAAAAAAUCUGUGUAUUUGGUCGGAUGAUGCAGCGAGUCUGUGUCCUCGGGCGCUGGGCUCACGCCUCGUCCCGUGCCUGUUUGCCGUGAGAGUCCUGGUCCGAGCGGCGUGUCGUGAAGGCAAUGGAAGAAAAAUGGCAGAGUUAAGGAAUAAAAGCAGAAUUAUGCCUUUUUUUUUUUUUUUUUUUCAGAUCCAGUUGCUCUGUGUGAUGCUGAUGGAAAUGUGCUCUCGGCGCUGUCGCUCUUGCUGGGGCUUUAAGAUCUGACAUAAGGCCUCUGAAAAGGGGGUUGCAAACCCUGGAGCCGGUUACCUCCUCGCUGGCCCUGUGGAGGGCGGCUUCGAGCUGCUCUUCCGUAGUCGUGUGCGUUUUCGUGCGCGCCGCUGGUGGGUUUGGGGGGUGAAACCAGACCACUGUGGUGGCUUCUCUACGAGCGCUCGGCAAAAAUCAGGAUCGUCAACACCCAGAGCGAGAAACAAGCCCUUAAGGCCAUCCCAGACCCUUUUAUUUUUUGGCAUCCAUCAGGUCGCCGGGGGGCUGGAUGCCCUUUCUGAGGCUGGACCGUGUUAAAUGCAUCCAAAAAAAGGUGGUUGCCCUCCCCUGCGGGCUAGCAGGGGGAGAGCAGAGUUGCCUCGACGCCUGCUCCAGGUCUUGCCCCCUCCCCGGCUCUCGCAAAGCCCCCGUGGGCUGCAGCUCCCCUGGGAUUUGCACCCGGAUCCUGGGAAUCGCGCUAAGACCGGGCGCAGCACAAUUUAUUUCGCGGAGCGUUUGAUAAGGUGCUGCUGGAAAACACCAGAGACCUUGAGGGACCUUCUGCUUGCUUCUCGCCUGAAGAUAACUGGGAAAGGUUUUCAAAAGCGGAGGGAAAUCCGCUUUGUGUUAAAGCAGCUUAUCCCCUGGAGGUUUGCUGGGCGGCCGCUUGCAGAGCUGAGGGUCGGGCGGGCAUUGCACGAGCAGUAAGAAAAAAAAAAAAAAAAGGGUAAAUCUGGGAAAGCAACUUGGGAAAGCGUCCGGACGCAGUGCAGGGAGGAUGGCUUCACCCCCGGCUUCGGAUGCGGACUGAGGAAAAGCUCCCGGGUUUACCGUCGAAAGGACCCCGGGAUUGCAAAUCUCAACGCUGUGUGUUCAGACAUUAUUUUCCAGAGCUCUUCUAGGCAAAGCUCAGCAUUUUUUCUCAACUUUUAUAGCAGCGAGGAGCCAGGAGGUGGCACUGGCUGGCAGCACGUUCAGACCUCGCUCCCUUCAGCAGCUCCUGGCCCUGUUUCGGAGCCUUUUGGCUUCCCUAGAAAAUAAACUAUCUCUACUUUCCAAGGUUGGGAGCCUGGAUAACCCCGCAAGCCGGGGUGUGAGGUGGCAGGGACUGGUCGGUGACGGCACCGUCCGCGGCACCGCUGCUCUGUGGGUGUCGAGGAGAUGGGUGGGUUUGGGCUGUACGUGCUCCGGCAGACCGGGGAAUGUCUCCCGGGGGCUCUGGAGGUGUGCCCGGGGGAGUUUGGAGCUCUGCAGCCCCGGGGGUUGUGCGGCCGCGACCACCAUGAGCUCUGCCUGUUGGGUUGACUCAACCUCCGUUGACUUGCAGGAGCUCCAAGACUACGUGAGUGCACCUGGAUCAGGUUUGAUGCUCUUCCUUCCCCAUAACUCUUCCAAAGAAAAGCAGUGUAGACACACAGAGUGUGGGAUUGCAUAUUUUUCCCCGGUUGGGCCAAGAGGAGCCUUCUAAACUCCCAACUUCUUGACCAAAAAAACCCUCUUUCUGGCACAGUCUCUUCUCCCUGGGGAGCUGGUGGGGGUUGUAUUGGUUGGAGGGGCUGGUUUUUGUCCAACUUCUCAUUGCACUUCAGAUUUUGCUGGUGUUUCUAGAAAACCAAUAGUAUUAAGAGCAAUUCUGAAAAAAAAAAAAAAGCCUAAGUGGAAAAGUUCUGCCUGCAAUUCCUAGGUAGCUAUUAGCUUGUGUUUUAUGGGUUUAGAUGCUUAAACAGGUUCUUUUGAUGGGACGGUCACUGUACAAGUUUCUUGCAUUUGUUAUCCCUGUUCCUCUGGUUGAUGAUGUGGAGGGUUUGUCCCAAAACAGCCUCAUUUAAGGUGGUGGCUUGGGAAGAUGGGACAUGGCAAAAUCUGCAUCCAGUCCCCA